CACCGCGGUUAUACGAGAGACCCAAGUUGACAAUUAUCGGCGUAAAGAGUGGUUAAGAUAUACCCAUACUAAAGCCAAAUGCCCUCAAAGCUGUUACACGCUCUCGAAGGUAAGAAGCCCGACUACGAAAGUGACUUUACAACAUCUGAACCCACGAAAGCUAGGGCA
rnacentral:rRNA from 1 species